rnacentral:rRNA from 1 species
AACGCGAAGAACCUUACCACCUUUUGACAUGCCUGGACCGCCACAGAGAUGUGGUUUUCCCUUCGGGGACUGGGACACAGGUGCUGCAUGGCUGUCGUCAGCUCGUGUCGUGAGAUGUUGGGUUAAGUCCCGCAACGAGCGCAACCCUCGCGAUUAGUUGCCAUCAGGUUUGGCUGGGCACUCUAAUCGUACUGCCGGAGUUAAUCCGGAGGAAGGCGGGGAUGACGUCAAGUCCUCAUGGCCCUUACAAGGUGGGCUACACACGUGCUACAAUGGCGACUACAGAGGGCUGCAAUCCCGCGAGGGGGAGCCAAUCCCUAAAAGUCGUCUCAGUUCGGAUUGUUCUCUGCAACUCGAGAGCAUGAAGUUGGAAUCGCUAGUAAUCGCGGAUCAGCAUGCCGCGGUGAAUACGUUGGGUCUUGUACACACCG